AGUAGUCAUAUGCUGUCUCAAAGAUUUAAGCCAUGCAUGUGUAAGUAUGAACUAAUUCAGACCUGUGAAACUGGCGAAUGGCUCAUUAAAUCAGUUAUAAGUUUGUUUGAUGGUAUCUGCUACUUCGGAUAACCGUAGUAAUCUAAUGAGCAAUGACGUGCAAGCAAACCCCGACUUCUGGAAGGGAAUGCAUUUAUUAGAUAAAAGGUCACGCGGGCUCUGCCGUAUGCUCUGAUGAUUCAUGAUAACUCGACGGAUCGCACGGCCUACGUGCCGGCGACGCAUCAUUCAAAUUUCUGCCCUUCAACCUUUCGAUGGAGGAUAGAGGCCUACAUGGUGGUGACGUGACGGAGAUUAAGGGUUUCGAUUCCGGAAGAAGGGAGCCUGAGAAACGGCUACCACAUCCAAGGAAGGCAGCAGGCGCCAAAUUACAAUCCUGACACGGGGAGGUAAGUGGACAUUAAAUAAGCAAUAUCCGGGCUCUUCGAGUCUGGUAAUUGGAAUGUAGUACAAUCUAAAUCCUUAACGAGGAUCCAUUGAGGCAAUGUCUGGUGCAGCAGCCGCGGUAAUUCCAGCUCCAAUAGCGUAUAUUUAAGUUGUUUGGCAGUAAAAAGCUCGUAUUGGGACCUUGGGUUGGGUCGACCGGUCCGCCUCGCGUGUGCACCUGUCGGCUCGUCCCUUCUGCCGGCGAUGCGCUCCUGGCCUAACUGGCCGGGUCGUGCCUACGGCGCUGUUACUUUGAAGAAAUUAGAGUGCUCAAAGCAAGCCUACGCUCAUGGAUAAUUAGGGCAUGGGAGUAACAUCAUAGGAUUUCGGUCCUAUUGUGUUGGUCCUUAAGCGGGAUCGGAGUAAUGAUUAACAGGGACAGUCGGGGGCAUUCGUAUUUCAUAAUCAGAGUGGAAAUUCUUGGAUUAUGAAAGACGAACAACUGCGAAAGCAUUGGCCAAGGAUGUUUUUCAUUAAUCAAAGAACGAAAGUUGGGGGCUCGAAGAAACGAUCAGAUACCGUCCUAGUCUCAACCGAUAAACGAUGCCGACCAGGGGAUCGGCGGAUGUUGCUUUAGGACUCCGCCGCAAACCUAUGAGAAAUCAAAGUCUUUGGGUUCCCGGGGAGUAUGGUCGCAAGGCUGAAACUUAAAAAGGAAUUGACAGGAAGGGCACCACUCAGGAGUGGAGCCUGGCGGCUUAAUUUGACUCAACAACGGGGAACUUACCGGGUCCAGACAUAGUAAGGAUUGACAGACUUGAGAGGCUCUUUCUUGAUUUCCUAUGGGUGGGUGCAUGGCCGUUCUUAGUUGGUGGAAGCGAUUUUUGUCUGGUUAAUUCCGUUAACGAACGAGAACCUCAGCCUGCUAAUAGCAUGGGCGGAGUGACUCCUCCGCGCCAGCUUCUUAGAGGGACUAUGGCCUUUUAGGCCAAGGAAGUUUGAGCAAUAACAGGUCGUGAUGACCUUAGAUGUUCGUGGCCGCACGCGCGCACAUGAUGUAUUCAACGAGUCUAUAGCCUUGGCCGACAGGCCCCGGGUAAAUCUUGAAAUUUCAUCGUGAUGGGGAUAGAUCAUUGCAAUUUGGUUGGUCUUCAAACGAGAAUUCCUAGUAAAGCGCGAGUCAUCAGCUCGCGUUGACUACGUCCCGCCCUUUGUACACACCGCCCGUCGCUCCUACGAAUUGAAUGGUCCUGGUGAAGUGUUCGAUCGCGGCGACGUGGGCGGUUCGCGCCGAGACGUCGCGAGAAGUCCACUGAACCUUAUCAUUUAGAAGGAAGGAGAAGUCGUAACAAGGUUUCCGUAGGUGACCUGCGAAGG
rnacentral:rRNA from 1 species